rnacentral:rRNA from 1 species
GUGGGGAAUAUUGGACAAUGGGGGGAACCCUGAUCCAGCCAUGCCACGUGUGUGAAGAAGGCCUUUUGGUUGUAAAGCACUUUAAGCGAGGAGGAGGCUACCGAGAUUAAUACUCUUGGAUAGUGGACGUUACUCGCAGAAUAAGCACCGGCUAACUCUGUGCCAGCAGCCGCGGUAAUACAGAGGGUGCAAGCGUUAAUCGGAUUUACUGGGCGUAAAGCGCGCGUAGGUGGCCAAUUAAGUCAAAUGUGAAAUCCCCGAGCUUAACUUGGGAAUUGCAUUCGAUACUGGUUGGCUAGAGUAUGGGAGAGGAUGGUAGAAUUCCAGGUGUAGCGGUGAAAUGCGUAGAGAUCUGGAGGAAUACCGAUGGCGAAGGCAGCCAUCUGGCCUAAUACUGACACUGAGGUGCGAAAGCAUGGGGAGCAAACAGGAUUAGAAACCCUGGUAGUCC